rfam:Myotis lucifugus cont2.4959, whole genome shotgun sequence.
GGAGGUUCUCGGGUGACACACUCCGAAAUCAGGCUCCCUCCUCUCUAGUUCCAGGUGCGUCACCCGAGAACCGCA